rnacentral:misc_RNA from 1 species
GACAAAUCCACACGCAAACGCUCAAAUUCUUAAAUUUCUUCACUUUCCUAGAAAUUUCCUUGUGUUUAAUUCAAGGUUCUCUUAUUUAACUAUUCUUUCUCACCCACUUUCAUUUCUCUCAUCAUUUACAGACCCUUUACUUUUCCUCUGUUUUUGCUCCCUGUUUUCUUGAUCUUAGAUAAAAUCUAUCUUAUCUCUGCUGUAUCUCGGGUACCCAUUUCGUGUUUUAUUGUUUUUUGAUCGGUUGUCGAAGGGAAUUGGAGUUGAAGAUGGAGAAUAACCAGCAAUCGUUUUGGCAAUUCAGUGAUCAGCUGAGGCGACAUACUUCAAGCUUAGCAAAUCUGUCACUGAAGGAAUCAAUAUGGAGCAAUUGUUAUGUGUCAAAGAGGCCAGAUGAGAGGAGGAAUUUUGAUGUAAGAGUUGGAGGUGAUGUGAAUUCUGUUAUUAAUUCCAAGUCAAAAGAGUCUGGUUUCAAUGAUGGUUUCAAUGAUGGGCGGAAGAUAGGAUCUAUUGGUGGUGCUGCUACAGAUUUAAAUGGAUUUAACGAUGGGUGGAAGAUAGGAUCUAGUGGUGGUGCUGCUACAGAUUUAAAUGGAUUUAACGAUGGGUGGAAGAUAGGAUCUAG